CUGAAAUACACUGAGCGCGCUGUGUUUUAACGCGCGAAUCCCACAAAGAGAACUCAGUAGAAAGGCUUAUUUUCUUGCCAACAUUUUUCGGUCAUGACCUUUAUUCUCAUCACAUUCAAUUCAACCAGCAAACUCAGGUCAUCAACACUGCAGAGUCUCUGUAGCGGCAGCAGCUUAUUCGCUCUCUUCAAAACACAGGAUUGGACGUCUCAAGACAAACAGACGAGGACUACCUGGAGAUACAUACAUUAACGCCAGUCGGAUUCCAGUUGCAUUGAAAGCUGUUUUCUACCAUUUGUUAAUGCCUACGGGAACGAUAGAGGCAGCGGCACAAUUUCCUGUUGUGAGGGGCUAAAAAUACCUCCGACUUGCUGAUCUAGAUGGAUUCAGUCAAAAAAAAAAUAACAGCGCAGCUCAAAAGGACAAGGCUAGUAGCCGGUGUGAACAUAAUGCGAAAGACCCAGGGAGUCGACAGAGAGCCCGUUCUAAUGAAAAUACUGUUAAAGCCCAGUGCCGAACGGAGUUAUAGGAGAGCUGUUUGUUAGAGCACUUCUCCCAGCUUUUCUCAUUUGG